UUUUUGUAUUAUAGAGAUUUUGAAAGUCCCUUUAGGGUUUUACCCACAAAAAA
rnacentral:tRNA from 1 species